rnacentral:rRNA from 1 species
AGAGUUGAUCAUGGCUCAGGACGAACGCUGGCGGCACGCCUAACACAUGCAAGUCGAACGGAGAAUACUAGCUUGCUUGUAUCUAGUGGCGGACGGGUGAGUAACACGUGAGCAACCUGCCUCUGAGAGAGGGAUAGCUUCUGGAAACGGAUGGUAAUACCUCAUAACAUUACAUGACCGCAUGAUCGUGUAAUCAAAGGUUUAUCACUCAGAGAUGGGCUCGCGUCUGAUUAGCUAGUUGGUGAGGUAACGGCUCACCAAGGCGACGAUCAGUAGCCGGACUGAGAGGUUGAACGGCCACAUUGGGACUGAGACACGGCCCAGACUCCUACGGGAGGCAGCAGUGAGGGAUAUUGCACAAUGGGGGAAACCCUGAAUGCAGCGAUGCCGCGUGGAGGAAGAAGGUUUUCGGAUUGUAAACUCCUGUUUCGAGGGACGAUAAUGACGGUACCUCGGGAGGAAGCUCCGGCUAACUACGUGCCAGCAGCCGC